rnacentral:tRNA from 3 species
CUGGUAGUUCAGCUGGUUAGAACGCUAGCCUGUCACGCUAGAGGUCGUGGGUUCGAACCCCAUCC